GCCUAAUACAUGCAAGUCGAGCGAACAGAUGAGAAGCUUGCUUCUCUGAUGUUAGCGGCGGACGGGUGAGUAACACGUGGGUAACCUACCUAUAAGACUGGGAUAACUCCGGGAAACCGGGGCUAAUACCGGAUAAUAUUUUGAACCGCAUGGUUCAAUAGUGAAAGACGGUUUCGGCUGUCACUUAUAGAUGGACCCGCGCCGUAUUAGCUAGUUGGUAAGGUAACGGCUUACCAAGGCGACGAUACGUAGCCGACCUGAGAGGGUGAUCGGCCACACUGGAACUGAGACACGGUCCAGACUCCUACGGGAGGCAGCAGUAGGGAAUCUUCCGCAAUGGGCGAAAGCCUGACGGAGCAACGCCGCGUGAGUGAUGAAGGUCUUCGGAUCGUAAAACUCUGUUGUUAGGGAAGAACAAAUUUGUUAGUAACUGAACAAGUCUUGACGGUACCUAACCAGAAAGCCACGGCUAACUACGUGCCAGCAGCCGCGGUAAUACGUAGGUGGCAAGCGUUAUCCGGAAUUAUUGGGCGUAAAGCGCGCGUAGGCGGUUUCUUAAGUCUGAUGUGAAAGCCCACGGCUCAACCGUGGAGGGUCAUUGGAAACUGGGAAACUUGAGUGCAGAAGAGGAGAGUGGAAUUCCAUGUGUAGCGGUGAAAUGCGCAGAGAUAUGGAGGAACACCAGUGGCGAAGGCGGCUCUCUGGUCUGUAACUGACGCUGAUGUGCGAAAGCGUGGGGAUCAAACAGGAUUAGAUACCCUGGUAGUCCACGCCGUAAACGAUGAGUGCUAAGUGUUAGGGGGUUUCCGCCCCUUAGUGCUGCAGCUAACGCAUUAAGCACUCCGCCUGGGGAGUACGACCGCAAGGUUGAAACUCAAAGGAAUUGACGGGGACCCGCACAAGCGGUGGAGCAUGUGGUUUAAUUCGAAGCAACGCGAAGAACCUUACCAAAUCUUGACAUCCUUUGACCGCUCUAGAGAUAGAGUCUUCCCCUUCGGGGGACAAAGUGACAGGUGGUGCAUGGUUGUCGUCAGCUCGUGUCGUGAGAUGUUGGGUUAAGUCCCGCAACGAGCGCAACCCUUAAGCUUAGUUGCCAUCAUUAAGUUGGGCACUCUAGGUUGACUGCCGGUGACAAACCGGAGGAAGGUGGGGAUGACGUCAAAUCAUCAUGCCCCUUAUGAUUUGGGCUACACACGUGCUACAAUGGAUAAUACAAAGGGCAGCGAAUCCGCGAGGCCAAGCAAAUCCCAUAAAAUUAUUCUCAGUUCGGAUUGUAGUCUGCAACUCGACUACAUGAAGCUGGAAUCGCUAGUAAUCGUAGAUCAGCAUGCUACGGUGAAUACGUUCCCGGGUCUUGUACACACCGCCCGUCACACCACGAGAGUUUGUAACACCCGAAGCCGGUGGAGUAACCUUUUAGGAGCUAGCCGUCG
rnacentral:rRNA from 2 species